rnacentral:lncRNA from 1 species
CAGCAGAGUGUUUUGUCAGAUGCUGCUCCCUGACCGGGAGUGAGAGGGAACCCACCUAGAGUUUCUGCAGAUCCUGCUUUGUGACUUCGAGUGAAGUGUGGAAGCGCUGGAAGCACUUAGACCCUGCCUGUGCCGCAGACCCCUGGGAGGCACCAACACCCCGGAUCGAGAAGCCCGAUGGGAAAGAAUGUCUGGGAAGGACGUCAUGCCCGAGGCUUGCGUGACAGUUUCCACUCACAGUGCGCUCACUCUGAACCUCUGUGCACACGAUGGGCCUGCAUCUCUUCCCACUAUCUGCUAGGAAACACGAGGGUGAGUGAUGAGUUUUUAGGGUGGAGCUGGUCGGCAGUGGGGCCCCGACUCCC